GCGCCCGUAGCUCAAUUGGACAGAGCAACGGACUACGGAUCCGUGGGUUAGGGGUUCGACUCCUCUCGGGCGCA
rnacentral:tRNA from 2 species